rnacentral:rRNA from 1 species
GAUGAACGCUGGCGGCAUGCCUAAGACAUGCAAGUCGAACGAGAAGGCCCAAAGCGAAUGGAGUGCUUGCACGAAAUUCAAUUUGGAAUUUCCUUCGAGUGGCAAACGGGUGAGUAACACGUGGGUAACCUACCUCUAAGACGGGGAUAACAGUUGGAAACGACUGCUAAUACCGGAUGUGAUCUACGGAUUAAAGAAGCCUUUAAAGCUUCGCUUAGAGAUGGGCCUGCGGUGCAUUAGCUAGUUGGUGGGGUAAUGGCCCACCAAGGCGACGAUGCAUAGCCGAACUGAGAGGUUAAUCGGCCACACUGGGACUGAGACACGGCCCAGACUCCUACGGGAGACAGCAGUUAGGAAUAUUGGGCAAUGGGGGAAACCCUGACCCAGCAACGCCGCGUGAAGGAAGAAGGCC